rnacentral:rRNA from 1 species
UACGAGAGGCCCAAACGUUAUUCGGAAUUACUGGGCUUAAAGAGUUCGUAGGCGGUAUGUCAAGUAGGGUGUGAAAGCCCUCGGCUCAACCGAGGAAUUGCGCUCUAAACUGUCGUACUUGAGGAACCUAGAGGUGAGCAGAACAGAUGGUGGAGCGGUGAAAUGCGUAGAUAUCUGGAGGAACACCGGUGGCGAAGGCGGCAUCCUGGACCGACACUGACGCUGAGGAGCGAAAGCCAGGGGAGCAAACGGG